UCAGGGAGGGGUAGCACCUCUGGUGGGGGAACAUGUUGCGUCCUUUUCAGGGCGGUUAGUCCACCUUUGGUCCCCACCUGGCACUCAGCUCUCACCUGUGGCUCCCCGUAGCUGUUUGCAUGCGACAGCGGCCACACCCCGGGCAACGGCUUUGACAAGCCGGCUAAACCAGGUGAGGGUAGCCGACGGGUCUCAAACCCUCGGUGAGAUAGGGAGUUGUCUAUCCCAGCAUGUUAAGACAGACUCCGGCGGAUUGAGCGGACGAGACCCAUGUAAGGUCCAACGGUCAAGAAGGCGGUCUCUGCAAGCGUCGUGGAACGUGUAGAGCAAGACAAGACACAGAAGACAUCCUGGUCAUCCACUGCGCCUAGUCCCAUCUCCAGCCAUCUAGACUCUGUCUUGCCACUGGAUCCAGAUGGGAAUUGGGAAGAGAGAGUGAGGCUGACACUGCGCAACUCUCCUUCAUUUAAAUCCAAAUGACGCGCUAGUCUCGACACCAUCAUAAUGGUGUCGAGGUCCUCAUCGACGUCAACGAUGGACGAACAACAACAGUCUGUAGCUGGUGAAGAAUUAGGGAGGUGAGAGAGGGAGAAAUAUUAAUUUCCGACCCAGUGAACAGUGACACCAAUAAUUUCCUCAAGGCCACCCAUCCUAAAGCAGUGGUGCUGAAGAAAACGUAAAAACUAUAAACCGACAGCUAUCAAUCAACUUGUCACAUGGGGUGUGGGGAUAAAAGGAUGCAGAACCAACUGGGAGCAUUGGAGAGAAGUUUGGUCAAAGAAGACAAAGUCAAAGAGCUGAAGAAAGAGAUAACGUCUGAAUGUUGCCUGACCUGCCAAUCAGGAACUGGUUUCAAAUUUCCAGAGUAGGGCAAGAUUGCGGGAUUUUUCUUCAAUGUAACUUGUUGCAGUAAUGACUAAAUGCAGUUUGCGAAUAAAU